UGCACAUUGGCGUAGUUGGUAGCGCACAGGGCUCAUAACUCUGGGGUCGCAGGUUCGAAUCCUGCAUGUGCAA
rnacentral:tRNA from 1 species